ensembl:lncRNA
CUGUAUAAUGAAGAGUCUACAGAAUUGGAGGAAAUUCAGGAUACUCUCCCAAGGCUGGGUCCAUAGUGGAUGCUCCUCAAAAUAUUCACUGCUAGGGUGACUCAGUCCCCAAACAUACCAGUGACAGGAGGGGUGGCCCUAACUAAGCCCAAAGCAGCCCCCGCCCUGACUCUUCCCUCCCCCAUCUGAUCUACUGUCGGUACCACAAGCACAUCAGCAGAGAAGCCCUUCCCUGCUCCCACCUUUCUCCAAGGACGGGAAGUGUGGAAUGACUUUGGGGAGGUGACUCAGGUCCAGCUGUACUGAUCCCUUGGGUGAAUGGUGAUAAGAGAGUCUGAUUAAGUCUCAGAGGUAAGGGAUAUGCUUGACCUUCUCCAGUCCUGCCAGGAGCUCGGACGCCCCAUUCUUCUCCCCAACCCCAGCCCAGACCAAAAGAGGGGAAGAAAAAGCAGAAUGGGGAACAGCAUCAAUACUGAUGGAGUCUCUAUGGAGACCAUCUCUCCAAGCCCCCGUUUUCCCAACUGGCAAAUGACAGUUCCUAUAUCACAGGGGUGGUUUCGAGAUAAAAUGAGCUUCUCCAUCUUUAGCACACCCAGGAAUCACCAGGAGAUCUUGCUUGGGAAUAGCACCUUGUACACAACAGCCCUCAAUAAAAGUCAGCUCACUAGACUUUUUCUUCUAGCGAUUUGAUCCUUAAGAAUUGUCCCUAGGGUACUAGAAUGGUUAUGUCACCGCUGGACAUAACUGAGUGAUUUGCCCAAGUACAGAAGGCUUGGAUUCAGGGCAGAAGCAGGGUUCAAGGUCAAGUCUGCAGAUCCAUCCUUUCCAGGCAUCACACCACCCCAAGCCCCACCUGCUUCAGUGGCAGCCAGAGGCUUGGAGCUGAGGACACGAGCAGCUUUGCCCCUCGGUCCCACUGCUGGCCCCUGCUGGGCCAGCCAGGCCUCCAGGUGCAAGCCCAGGCUCCCCCAAGAAAAACCUUGAGCCAUCACCUCCACUCCCCCAGCAGCAGCCUCUAGCAGCUUCCACCUCCAUCACCUUAUAAAGCGCCCCGAGCUGCACUUUUCCAAGCUGCAGUUUAAAUUUAUAUGGAGCGAACCAACUGUCCUUUCCCUGCAGCCUGGGCCUGACUGCUUCACACAUUCCUUCUGGAGCAACAUUACCUAAUUUAACCAUAGCCCCUGCUCUCCAGGGCUCUCAAAAUAGCAGCGGCCAGUAGGGGAAAAUGCCCUAAUGUUAAAAUAACCAAUUCUCCCUCCUCCCCCACUCUUGGCCAGCACCGCCUCAGACCCAGCCCAGGAAGGAACGAGGGCUGGGAGGACCAAGGUGGGCCUGGUUAGAGGCGGAGAUCCCGCCAUGCUUCCAGCGCUCUCAGAUACCUUCCCCCAUAUCCUCCAGCUCAUCCCAGGGGCCAGGGUUGCCCUGGUUACCCAAGACUAGCAUUCAGCUUUCACCUUCUCCUAAUAACAGAAACUAUCGUAGGAAUAAUUGCUACCCUUCCCCAGGUAUUCAUUCUGAGCUAAACACUUCCUACCCCUUGGCUCACUGACAGCAGAAAAAUGUAGGGAUGAAUAUUCUCUGGUUUCAGAUGAGGAAAUGGGGGCUCAGAAAGGUGCAGUGACUUGCCCAGUGUUAUAAAGCCCUGAGGUGGCAGAAGCGGGAUUGGAACC